AAGCAGCAACACCAGUUUUAACUGAACUUCCUGAGAACAAGACUAAUGCCAGGGCUAGGUGAUUACAGUGUGAAAGCAUAAAGGAUUUAAUCAUCUUAGCGACUUCAAUCCAGUUCUUUAUAAAUAGGAAACAGCUAAAGAAGACUACAUGCUGUCACAGGAUAUCCUACAAGAAAUAAUCAGGAGACGUAAAUCACUCUCUGCGAUCUGAGGGACUUCAGCAGGGUUGGGUAAGAGCGAUCUGAAAAGGACAAUCUGACAAUAAGUCUGACUAUGGCUCACAGGUAGAAGUGUUAGAUUUGGGUUUUGAGCACCCACCGUUGCAGUCAUUGACACCCAAUUGACCAAACUUGUUGCGCCCCCAACCGAACACGGCUCCUGAGAGAGUGAGGGCAAAGCUGUGAGCCCCGCCUGCUGAUAUCUGAACAAAAGGAAUGCCUUGCAGAGACUGAAUGAUUUGGGGCAUGGAGAUGCUCUGUCCGUUUAUGCCCAGCCCAAGUUGUCCAUAUCGAUUCUGGCCCCAGGAGAAGACUUGGCCCGCUAUGAGGAGAAUUAGAAAUAAUGUAGAAUAUCUUUACAUAUGGAAAACAUAAUAUGCUGAAUUGAUUGUGCUUCAUGUUAUAAACAAUCCUCACCUCUUGAAAGUGCAUGGGAGUGCCAAUACCCACAGGCUACCUGAGCUAUUUGUACAUCUGACAAACUCUUGAUAUUUCUGAACAGAAAGAAUGAAUCGUUAUUUAUGUAUCAUAAAUCUAAUCAUUUGCACCACAGUGUAAUUAAGAAGGUUAAUGUUGUUAUUGAGAUAAACAUGUGGAUACAUUUAGAAGUUCUAAUUACGAAUGGGUUCAUCCUGGCAAAAAUCACUGGAUCAAAAAUAUAUUUAAAAUGAUAAUCUGAUACAAUUCCAUUAAACUAAAUGAUCUGCAUCAAUUGGAA